UACGUAGGGCGCAAGCGUUGUCCGGAAUUAUUGGGCGUAAAGAGCUCGUAGGCGGCCUGUCGCGUCUGCUGUGAAAUCCCGGGGCUUAACCCCGGGCGUGCAGUGGAUACGGGCUGGCUGGAGGCAGGCAGGGGAGAAUGGAAUUCCCGGUGUAGCGGUGAAAUGCGCAGAUAUCGGGAGGAACACCGGUGGCGAAGGCGGCUCUCUGGGCCUGUUCUGACGCUGAGGAGCGAAAGCGUGGGGAGCGAACAGG
rnacentral:rRNA from 1 species